UAGACAUCCCUAGAAAGAAUAACCCAGUGAUUUACAGCCUUACUUUGGGAUUCUGUUUUCAGUUGUGCUACAGAUGUCCUAUAUGACCUUGACCACUGUGCCAGAGGCACCAAGCCAAUUGGAAACACAAGACUUGGAGAUUUAACUGGAGUUCAGACUGUCUGAAUUCAGAGGGCUUUAGACUCUCUGUGCCUCAGGUCCCUGCGUGUGAAAAGAAGAUAAAUUGACUUCCCUGCUUCACAGUGAUGUUGGACAGAGAAAUUCAUCUCAGACUAUCAGGAAGAUUUCUACUCUCUGGAGUGCGAUCUUCUGCAUCUUUUGAGAACACAGAAGCACGAAGUUGUCGCUGGGACACAGAUUUCAUCUGUCAUUUUAAACUCUCCACUUAUGUGCCUGAAUCACCCCACCGACUUCUUGCCUGGCUCUUUGCCUUUCAGAAUCAACGGCAACAGAAGAAAGGAGGAACACAUUUUUAAAGUUCAGCUCCACACUUUCAUAUGACUCCUUGAAUCCUGAACUACNNNNNNNNNNNNNNCUGCUGAACUCCCACACCAACAGGGACAUCAUUACAUGAAAAUAGUAAUAAGAGCAAAGACUACCUUGAUGGAUUAAGAGCCUAUCAAUCUAAUCGUAAUUCCUGUGCUGUUCAUUUCUUUCAGCCUUAAUGGGUAGUGAAGUCCUAUAAUAAAG
rnacentral:lncRNA from 1 species